GGAUUAGGCAUGCAAGUCGAACGAGGGAGUGUUCCGAAAGGGGCACAAACCGAGUGGCGUAAGGGUGAGUAAUGCAUUGAUAACCUACCUUUGAGACGGGGAUAACAACGUUCCGCAAGGGACUCCCGAAAGGGUUGCUAAUACCCGAUAAAACUCAUGGUGCUUCAGUAUCGGGAGUCAAAGGUUUGGGGCUGAAAGGUUCCAUAUGCUCAGAGAGGGGUCAAUGUCCUAUCAGCUAGUUGGCAGGGUAAAGGCCUACCAAGGCGAAGACGGGUAGCCGGCCUGAGAGGGUGGUCGGCCACAUUGGGACUGAGACACUGCCCAGACUCCUACGGGAGGCUGCAGUCGAGAAUCUUUCGCAAUGCCCGAAAGG
rnacentral:rRNA from 1 species